CCCGUGGUCUGCACUGCAGUUCGGCCUUUACCGCGGUGAAGUGCUGCAACUGUAGUCGCUGGCCAGCUUAA
rnacentral:pre_miRNA from 1 species